AUGAAAGUCUGUCACACUUUGAUCUGCUUCUUCUUCCUCUCACUGUGGGAUGGAAACACUGGUCCCAUCAAAAAAGAAAUCCCUGUCCAUACACGAACUGAAGGAGGAAACAUUACAGUUAAAUGCUCCUUCUCUUCGUCUGGAAGCAGGAAGAUCUUCUGUAAGAGAGAAUGUGAAGGAAAAGACAUUCUCAUUGAAACAAAUGAGAGCAGAGCUCAGAGUGGCAGAUACAGCAUCGAAUAUGAAGAAGAACCUUAUGUUUCUGCAGUUCUGAAUGUGAGCAUCACAAACCUGACUAAGUCUGACUCGGGGCGGUACAGAUGUUGGUUGGACAGAAAACGGUCACCAGAUUCAACCAGGGACUUUGAGCUCAGAGUUGAAGAUGCUCCAACCACUUCAAAACCAAAGUGGAAAACCACCACCAAAGCACCUUUUACACCAUCAGUCCCAUCAGCCUCCACACCGACAACAACACAGAGUUUAAGCUCCAGUUCAGGAAGCUCCACACCUUCAUCAUCCUCCCCUGAAACCACCAACCAGCCUGAACAGCAACAGAGAGCUGCAGGUCCAGGUUUGCCGCUGUAUGUGAGUCUGACUCUGGUCGUCAUCAUCAUCGUAUUAUCAGCGGCUGUGCUGAUAUUCUGCAGGAAGAGGACCAGUAAACCCAAAGAACCUCCUGUGGAAACUGAGUAUGCUAAUGGGACAGAGACCAACAGAGUGUAUGAGGAGAUCAGAGAGGAGGACAGACAGAGCAGAUCUCCUUCUGCAGAAAUAUCUACAGUUUACACUUACGCCAAAUACUCCAAACCAAAUGCAGUUGAAACCACAGAUGAGUACAGCCUUAUCACUGCAGCCGGUCCCCAGAACAAAGUGAGUAAAACUAUGGUCAGAUUUUAGGAUUUAGGCUUAAAACACAUUUAGGCUACAUCCACUAAUAUAACUUGACAUGGUAAUUUAGAUUUUUACACAUUUCAC
rnacentral:lncRNA from 15 species